CCCCCCCAUAUUUUUUAUACAAGGGUUAAUAUCUAAUUCUACCUUUUAAUAACAUUCAUGUCAUUCCUACUGUAUCAUGUGUGCAAUCAAUAGAGGGAGCUUACCAAUGAAUGCUGGCUGAAGCGGAUUCAUUUUACCAUGUUUUUUUUUUUUUUUAACUUCAGGUUUUUCCAACUCGCCCACUUUUGGUUUAGGACGUCAUUGGUAAUUAACAUACACUACAGGAGAUCAUAGGACAAGCUUUUAAACUGGAUUAGAGUGAAUUCUCCUCACUUCCAUCCUGUCAAGGCAAAGUCAAGAGAGAGAACACUUGUGUAGGUCUACAGAAGACAAUUGCGAAUGAUUACAACUGCAAACACAAUGAAGACAGGAAUCCUACAGAUAUUGCUGGUAUUGAAAUGUUUCUCUGACGUAACAUAUACAACUUCCACAACUCCACCUCAAGGAAGGAUCGUUAAAGGACUGUGUUCAAAAAGAACCUGCUGCAAAGGCACUGAUCAAACCUGUUUUAUUGGAACCUGCUUUUGUGAUGAAGGAUGUCAGCGCUUUGAUGACUGCUGUGAAGAUUAUGUACCUGUAUGCACAG